UUCCUCAGCAUCCUUUUCGACCUUAGGCAUUCUUCGAGUCGUCCCCAUCUCUACAUCUCUGCAUCCUUCAGACCAGCCUAGGUUAGCUCCAGAACUCUCCCUUUCUUUGCGGCUCUGUUUCUAAACUGUGCCGAUCUUCCUUCAUUGCAGAUAUGGGCACGGAUGCGGUUCGGAUGUUGGCGAAGAGUCUUAAGGCCCAC
rnacentral:lncRNA from 1 species